GAUGGAUUGUUGUGUUGUUGUCCAACGUUUAUAACCCUGUAUUAGUACCCCUUAGAGGUCCAGAAGGUCCUAUGUUUGUAUAUUUGGGAAAAUAUGUAUCUCAGGAAGCAGUUUGAUCGACUGCAUGGCGUGGACUCGCCGAGUCGGAUGAUCAGACUCGGCGAGUAGCUUGAAGAUUCACUGGGACUCGCCGAGUUGUUCUUCAGACUCGGCGAGUGGAGUCGGGGUGGCCCCGCGAUUCUUCCAGGAGUGACUCGUCGAGUCAAAGAGGAUACUCGACGAGUAGAAGGGGAAUCUUAGAGGAUUGAAGGACGACCAGACUCGCCGAGUCGCCAGGGAACUCGCCGAGUCCAGUCGAGCUGACAAUGGACUGUUGACCAGAGUUGACUGGUGUGAUUUCUUAGGGUCAGUUAACGUGGAAGAUAGAAGUAUUAAUAAGGGAUAUAUGAUGUUACAGGGAGCUUGUAGCUCGGAGGAUCAAGUGCAAGGGAUUUUAGGAGUUGCUAUCUUCCAGUGUCCGCGAGGUGAGUCUUCUCACUAUACUUCACCCGGAAGGGUUUGAUUGUGUGACCGGAAGGUCAAGUAUGUUAUGUGUUAUGUUUAUAUGCUAUAAAUGGAAAGUUAGCUGCUACGCGUGAUAUACAUGCUUAUAUAUGGGCCGGAAGGCAAGGUAUUAUGUGACAGAAAGGUCAGGUAUGAUAUAUGAUAUAUGUGCUUUAUGUGUUAGAGUAUUUGUAUUAUGUGUUAUAUAUGUGUAUGGGCCGGAAGGCAAUUAUCUUAUGGGCCGGAAGGCGAUAUAUAUUGUGGACCGAAAGGUCCGGGCCGGAAGGCAAUGUUAUGUGGACCGAAAGGUCCGGGCCGGAAGGCAAUGUUAUGUGGACCGAAAGGUCCGGGCCGGAAGGCGUAUGUGCGUAAGGUAUAUUGGGGAACUCACUAAGCUUCGUGCUUACGUUGUUUAUGUUAUGUUGUUUCAGGUUCUUACAGUAACGCGGGAUGGCAACGGUUCGAUUGUACACACCGAAGAAAGAGUUGUGUUUUGGAGGAUCCUGGUCUUCUAUUAUAAUGAAAAUGAAACUAUGUUUUGUAAUUCGAAUGUGAAUAAGAUUUUAAACAAGUGUUUUUAAUAUUAAAUUGAUUAUUUAAAUGAAAAUUUUGUUUUUGGAAAUCAUGGUGUUACAAAUUGGUAUCAGAGCCUUGGUUUGAGGGAUUCGGACGCGCCUACGGGUAAAUCUGGACUCAAACUGAGGAAGUAAGAAAAAGUUUUCCAAAUAAAUGGUUUUCUAAAAGUGAAUAAGAGUUCAAAGAGAAAGCAAGAAAGAGCAGUGUGUACAAUCAGCCAGAGCCAAACGGUGAUUUCCCAAAAUACCCUUACUUUUGUAUUAUGAAAUAUCUAUUAUGCACUUUAUGAGACAUUAUUGCAUGCUAGAGACAGGCUAGGUAUUUCACAUCUUAGGACUAGAGUGGCCUGAUUUGUGAUGCCUUAGUCUAGGGUUUGCUGUUAUAUGUGCGUUAUGCUUUUGUGUGUAUGUGAUGAGUGAGAGUAUCUAGUUAGAACGCACAAGGGGUAAAGCUACGGGGUACAGAGGUACUUCCGAGGAUGAGCCGAGAAGGUGGAGCUACCACAGAUGGGGAGUCCUAUGUAUGCUUCAAUGCUCGAAUGCUGCUUGCUUUGUGCUUUGUGGAGUUAUCGAUGAUGGGAGUCAGCUACUAAGUGAGUAUGACGAUACUCAGGAGGUAGAGGGCUGGCAUCAUUAGGAACUCUUCAGCAGCUGAUAGCAAAGAAGUGGGAGGACAGCGGAAGGGACUAGGGAGUAAACCUAGCCAGAUGAGUGCGCUGGUAGAGUAGAGGAUUUCGCUGGAAAGCGAGCACGCGCGAUGAGAUGGGUGAAAGAGCAGGUUUAUCAGCUACUUAGGAACUCUGGGAUGGUCCGUGUGGAAAGUAUGGGUAGAUGUGGCAGGUAGUAUGGGCCCGUACUACUGAAAGCAGAGGACCCAUACUUGAUACAGGGGGCAUUCUGAAGGUCCUAAGGAACAGAUUGAGGGGUGAUGUUAUGGUUCGGAUACCAUACAUCGGAGCGGAUACAGAGUGAUGUUAUGGUCAGGGCACCAUACAUCGGAACAGAUUGAGAUAGAUGUUGUGGUUCGAGUGCUAUACAUUGGAGCAGAUUGAGGAAUGGUGCUAUGGUUCAGGUACCAUACACCGAAGCAUGUUGAGGAGGGAUGUCAUGGGAUGAGUACCAUGGUUCGUAGUGGAUGAUGCUUGUGGCUAUCUUGUUAUCCGGUUAUCGAUCGGACGAGCACGAGCGAGCGGGAUGCGAGGAUUCGCGAGAUCCGGCGUGAUGAGGUUGCUGCAUUGUUGCGGGCUGAGUCGCCAGAAUUGUUUGGGUCGAUCAGGACCACUAUGAUUGAAGUAGUUUGAUGAGCGAUAUGCGGCUUUCGCAGAGACGGCUGCCGCGGCGGUUACAGCGGCUGUAGCAACGGCAAAGAAAGGGGCUAGUCGGGGUUUUCAGUAUCGGGACUUCUAUUAUGCGAAGCCUCCCACAUUCGAUGGAGUUCAGGACUCGAUUGUUGCUAUGAGAUGGUUAUCAGACAUGGAGGGGUGUUUCUCCACGAGUUUAUGCCCUGCUGAUCAGAGGGUGGGGUGUGCUCUGAACCUAUUGAGGCUCGGGGCGAAGGAUUGGUGGAGAUUGACCACGAGGUCAUUUUCCGAUGCGCAGAGGGCUGCGGUUUCAUGGGAUCAAUUCAGAGGGAUGUUCAGUACUCGCUAUGUUCCGCGGGAUGAAAAGGAGAAAUUGGCUCGGAAGUUCCUUAAGCUGAAGCAGGAUUUGGAGUCGGUGACUGAGAGCACCGGGAUGUUUAUUGAGAGGGCGAUGUUUUGCCCUGAGUUCGCUUCGGAGCAGGCUCAGAUGUCCCGAUAUCCGAGUAUGCUCAAGGGGGGGUAUCAGACAGUUCGUGUCUGCGCAGAGGCGCGAGACCGUGUUGGUAUCGCAGGAGGCCGCCAUGUGGCGUGAGUUAGAGGUUGAGUUGCAGUUGCGUGAGAUGAGGCAGGCCCCGAUGCAGUCGCAGUCGGCGCCGAAACGGUCCAUGACCGUAGACGUUAGAAUGGGGGAUCGGAGCGGUCACACUUGUGGGAAGUGUGAGAGAGAUGGCACCGGAGCUUGUUGGCCCAGUGGUGCAUGCCGCAAGUGCGGAAAGGAGGGGCAUGGUGCACGGGAUUGUCGGCAGUCAGUGCCAAUUCGGGAUUUCAGGAUUUGUUAUCAGUGUCGGCAGGUUGGACAUUUGAGGGUCAACCGUCCACAGUUUCCUGCAGGACCGGUGCAGGCUCUAGCAUCGGCCACCUUGAGGAGUUCAGGAGGAGGACAGGAUGGAGCAGAGCCCAAGGGCUCAGGGUCGUGCUUAUCGGCUUGCGGCAGAGGGAGACGGAGCAGUGCCGGAGGCAGCUGCGGGUAUGAUGCUCUCUUGAUGUCUUGAGUAGCUUGCGUUGAUUGUGGCGUAUUGUUUGUGCUGGUGUCUGGUGUGGAUUUCGAUGCGGUAUUCGUUGUUUCGCGGGUUUGGCAUGGUUAUGGAUUGGUGCUUCAGGUUUUCGCUUGGCAUUCGUUGUUCCCUGAUGGUUUAGUAUGAUUAUAGUUUGGUGUUUUGGUACCGGUAGCCUUGUGCGGUUUUCGAUGCGAUAUUCAACCUUUGGCAGGUUGUGGGUUUGGUUAUGGGUUAUUGCUUGGGAAUUCCGUUGGUCAUCGUUCGUGAGGGUUGAUAGUGGAGAUGCGGCACUGGGUUGAAUGACGGGUAGCAUCUGCAGUUGUGGAGUGGAUAAUUGAAAGAUCGGAUUCUUUUGAGCGGAUUGAUCAGGGAGGAGAUGUGUUUUGCUGAGGGUUGCUUACGCUUGUGGGAAGCAGUCAGUGGGUAAAUGUUCUCUUUGUGCAGGAUGGUUCUGAAAGGUCGUUAAUGACGAUCGGUGGCAGUUAGUCAGUGCUUUAGUGGGGGAGAAUUGUAAAAUUCUCCGGGAGAUCGAUGAGUAUGUAAGGGUGCUUAGCUGUUGGGAUUCAGCAGUGUUUGUCAGCGCAAAGUAUAGGCCGACGAGAGCGAGUGUUGAGUAUGCGGGGCGAGAUACAGACCUAGGGCAUUUGAUUGUGGAGGCCUGAGAGGAGGUCGGGAUCAAGCUUGAGUAAGUAAUCGGAAUUUUGCGAUCAGAGUAUUGGUACGUUUGAGGUACGUGAUGGGUUGUACUGCAUUAAUCCCACGGGAUUAUGUUGUGCAUGUUUCUAGAGCUGGAACCGGAAGGUUCCCAGAGUUAGAACCUGAGGGUUCGCAGAGUUUGGGUGUACGGACCCACAGAGAUAUAGCCUCGAGUGGCUAGUAUGUGUUAUGAGAGUCGGUCCAGUCAUACUGGAGACUCUGUUGGUAUUGCUGGAUUAGUUUGAGAUUUGCGGAUCGCGUAUGUUGCAGUGUGAUUGCAUUGGAAGGUCUGGCCCCGGGUUAUUGAUCUUGUUUAGCGGAGGCAGUGAUUUUGAUGAGUGGAGAGAGUGCAUGGGAUUGAGAGCCCCUGCAAUGAGAACCAGAGUAUGUGAAUAGCAGUUACGCAAAAAGGGUGGUGUCGCUUGGGGCGAGCACCGUGGCACCGGUUGGAGUGGCAUUAUGUUCAAGAGAGUUCCGUGGAAAAGGAAAAGAGGAGGGUAUGUAACUCCGAAGGGGGUGCAAGUUCACGAAAGUGAAAGCUGCAGAGCAGAGUUAUGGUUAGAGUAUUUCGAGUAUGGUUUUGAGCAUCGUGUUCGCGGCAGUGGAGUAGGAACCCAUCCGGUUGGGAUGUCUGUUGAGGCUCAGAAGGGAUGCAUGGAGAGAGAAAAUUUUAAAUUCUCAGUGUGAAUCUGAUCAGAGUGUAGGGUGGAUGUAGUGGUUCAUCUUGGGAGAUGUUCGAGGAUAUCAUCAGUGUAUCGGGUCUUUCCACCUGCGGGUGUUGGGACUAGUUCAGUAUGUGUAUGUGAUGGCAAGAGGGAACUUGUGAGAGUUGAUCUGAGAGGGAGAACGGAUCUCUCAGUCGGUCCGGAAUGGGCAAAGUGGGCUUUGGAUCGGGGAUCCGGUGGUUCAGGGUUUCCUAACCCUUAUGGGUUGAGUGAUCGUUGAGAUUUGGAGCAGAGUGCAUCUUGGGUAAUUUCCGAUUACAGAGAGUGAUGAGCAGUUCAGAGUUCGUACUUUAGUUGACAAAGCAGACUCAGCAGGUUAAAGAGAGUUAGUGAUCGUCUAGAGUUAACAGGAAAGUUAUGCAGGCAGACGCCGUUACGAGCAUGUGAUUCAGGUCAGCGACUUCGUAUUUCUGACGGGGUGCUUCGAUUUAGGAAGAGGGGUAAAUGGGGGGCCCCGGUAUGUUGGGUCUUUUCGUGAAGGUGCGAAGGUAGGAAGGGUGGCCUAUCGUUUGGAGCUGUCAACGGAAUUGGGACGGAUCCAUGACACUGGUAUGUGUCGCAGUUGAAGAGGUGUAUAGCGGAUGAGUCAGCAGUGGUUCUACUAGAGAACGAUUAGGUGGAUGCGAGCCUGUGUUACGUCGAGAGGCCAGUGGCCGUCGGAGAUCGGAAGAUCAAGGUUCUGAGGAACAAGGAGGUACCUCUGGUAUUGGUUCAGUAGCGACCUCGGAAGAUAUCGGAAGUGUUUAGGGAAGCCGAAACGUGUGAUGCGGGAGCAGCAUCCAGAACUAUUUUCAGAGUGAGACUUCGAGGGCGAAGUCUAAUUCUAGUGGGGGAGAAUUGUAACAGCCCAAAAUCUCAAGUAUUGUUAAAUUGCAUUUUGGGGGUGUUUUAAAGGGGAGACUCGACGAGUUGGAGCCAGACUCGCCGAGUAGGGUCGCAGGUUUGGUCGCGGGUUCACGACUGGACUCGACGAGUCCAGAUAUGGACUCGGCGAGUCGACGCUGUUCAGCGGAAACCCUAGCCGUUCAGUAUUGGGUCGUAUAUAAGGGUUAUUAUGCCGUCAUUUCACGACUUUGGAUCGAUUGGGAAGAACCCUAGGCGACUGGAGCGGCUAGAGCAAGGAUUGAAGAUCAUUGGUGAUUUGAGGAAGUUAUUGUCCAAGAAGGAGAAGGUUUUGGCUAAUGGGACAGCAAGGGAAUCACGUUUUGAGGCUUGGGGACACUGAGAGUGCAUGAUUCAGGUAACCUUUCGGAUUAUUUUCUGUUAUGUGAAUGUGUGCAUGGAUUUAGGGUUUGUGAAACCCAUUUGGAGUCUAGAUGGAUUGUUGUGUUGUUAUCCAACGUUUAUAACCCUGUAUUAGUACCCUUAGAGGUCCAGAAGGUCCUAUGUUUGUAUAUUCGGGAAAAUAUGUAUCUCAGGAAGCAGUUUGAUCGACUGCAUGGCGUGGACUCGCCGAGUCGGAUGAUCAGACUCGGCGAGUAGCUUGAAGAUUCACUGGGACUCGCCGAGUUGUUCUUCAGACUCGGCGAGUGGAGUCGGGGUGGCCCCGCGAUUCUUCCAGGAGUGACUCGUCGA
rnacentral:lncRNA from 1 species